UUUCUAAACACAGAUGAAGCAGAGGACUGAUCGAGGGCCGUAUGCCGGUGCUCAGUACAGUGAGUAAUUGAAAUUUGUGCAUGUUUAACACGUUAGAAUGCUCCAUCCCUACUAGCAUCAGGAUCCGCAGCGGAUCCGCUUUCGGUCCGCCAAAUCCGCCCCACAGUCCGUCCGCUUUGCGGAUCCGCUGCGUAUUUGUUCCGUAUUCGCUUUCUGACUGUUGCUAACCCUAACCCUUGGAUGGCCUGCUGUUACAGAGAGAAUCUGCGGUUAAAUCAUCUUAGAUCCGCACUGUGAACGCACUUUUAACACAACACUUUGUUUUUGACACAAUGAUUUGUACUAUCAAUGCGCGGAUCCGCGGCUAAACCGGUUCGGAUUCGCUGCGCGGACGCGCCACUGACUCAUGAGUCGUUAUCGGGACCUGAGUGGAAAGAAGCAGCAUCCACCUGUUGUCCGCGGAUUUAACUUUUUGACGAGUGCAAUAGGAAAGUUAGCGACAGUAGCAGCUAACGUGAUGAAGACGAUGUGAGGUCAGGAGUCAGGAUAACUCCAUCUCUUGAGUUGACAUCAGGAGCCCCUGUCCUUCUGCUGAAUGUCCCCAUCAGGAGCCCGGCACGCUGAUCAGAAAAUAUACUAUGGUUAAUAAGAAGAUGGACAUAACAGCAUGAUAAAGACCCUCUGGAGAAUUCCCUCUGCUGGGCCAAGUUCCAAAAAUGUAGAGACAGACCCUGUAACAUGCUGUGGUGGAGUUUAAAGACUGACCCUCCAUGCUGUGAGAAAGGGGAAGCCCAGUCCUGGACACUGACAGACUGGAUCUUCACCAGUAGGACUGAAGAGGAGCCAGACUCACUGCACCUCUGCCUCAAAACCUUUGCCUCAGACUGAAGCUAAAGACAGUGGCUCUGAAGCUCCCACACUGCACACUCUAUAAGAACAACCAUCCGUCUAAUUGUACUGUGGUGGUAAACACAAGUUAAGUUUUAGUUUUAAACAGUACGGUAUGGCUACACUCUGUCUCAUCUGUCCAGGCUUUUACUCAUAUAGCUUAUAUUUGUUUUUUGCCAUUUAAAAAAAAAAAAAAAACUUUGCUUAACUUGAACUAUUUUUAGUAAAAACUGUAAAUUGUCAUUUUCAUAUUAAGAAUGAAGCAUUGGUUAACUCAAAGGGUAUAUAAGUCCUAUAACAUUAAUAAUAAUUAUUCAUGUCCUAAGAUUUCUAAUUAAUGAUUUAAAUAAAUAUUGUUUACAAUGUAAAAAAAAAAAAGUUUCUUUUUUUCUUAACUAAUGAGAUUUAGUGAUAGGAUAUCACUGAUCCAACUUUGAAAUUGUUUAAGUUUAUGUUUUUAAAUUUAAGCCUUUAUAUCCUAGUUUUAAUACUUGCUGUAAAAGGUUUAUGUACAGUUACAAUGCAAAUGCUGCUGGUGUGUAUUUAGGUCAGUAGGAAGUGGAUCAGUAUUAAAUC